rnacentral:rRNA from 1 species
UUGGAGGGCAAGUCUGGUGCCAGCAGUCGCGGUAAUUCCAGCUCCAAUAGCGUAUAUUAAAGUCGUUGCAGUUAAAAAGCUCGUAGUUGAAUUUCGGGAUCAAUUUAUUGGUCGUGCCAACGGUACGCACUGGUACAAUUGGUUUCUCCCUUCUGACGAAGCAUGAUGUCAUUAAUUUGAUGUCGUGGGGAAUCAGGACUGUUACUUUGAAAAAAUUAGAGUGUUUAAAGCAGGCUUUGGCUUGAAUACAUUAGCAUGGAGUAAUGAAAUAGGACGUUUGAUCUUAUUUCGUUGGUUUCUAAGAUCGACGUAAUGAUUAAUAGGGAUAGUUGGGGGCAUUAGUAUUCAAUUGUCAGAGGUGAAAUUCUUGGAUUUAUUGAAGACUAACUACUGCGAAAGCAUUUGCCAAGGAUGUUUUCAUUAAUCAAGAACGAAAGUUAGGGGAUCGAAGACGAUCAGAUACCGUCGUAGUCUUAACCAUAAACUAUGCCGACUAGGGAUCGGAUGAUGUUAAUUUUUUAAUGACUCAUUCGGCGCCUUACGGGAAAC